rnacentral:misc_RNA from 1 species
CAACCCCCAGGCCUUCGCUGCCUGUUGUUGGGGCGUUCAGGGAGCGGUCCAGCGGACCACAACCUGAGCCCUGAAAAGCAGUGGCGGGCUCGCCAGGUCACCGAGCGCAGUAAUUUCUCUCGCUUAGGGGAUCCGGCGGGUGCCAGCCGUGAAAAAACGCAGAAACGCACUUUACAGUG